UACGUAAGGGGCUAGCGUUGUCCGGAAUCAUUGGGCGUAAAGCGCGCGUAGGCGGCCCGGUAAGUCCGUUGUGAAAGUCAAAGGCUCAACCUUUGAAUGCCGAUGGAUACUGCCGGGCUCGAGUCCGGAAGAGGCGAGUGGAAUUCCUGGUGUAGCGGUGGAAUGCGCAGAUAUCAGGAGGAACACCGAUAGCGAAGGCAGCUCGCUGGGACGGUACUGACGCUAAGGCGCGAAAGCGUGGGGAGCGAACAGG
rnacentral:rRNA from 1 species